ACCUACGGGAGGCAGCAGUGGGGAAUAUUGCACAAUGGAGGAAACUCUGAUGCAGCAACGCCGCGUGAAGGAUGAAGGUUUUCGGAUCGUAAACUUCUUUGAUGAGGGACGAACAAUGACGGUACCUCAAAAACAAGCCACGGCUAACUACGUGCCAGCAGCCGCGGUAAUACGUAGGUGGCGAGCGUUAUCCGGAAUUACUGGGUGUAAAGGGCGUGUAGGCGGGAAUGUAAGUCAGAUGUGAAACUCCGGGGCUUAACUCCGGAUCUGCAUCUGAAACUAUGUUUCUUGAGUGCUGGAGAGGAAAGCGGAAUUCCUAGUGUAGCGGUGAAAUGCGUAGAUAUUAGGAGGAACACCAGUGGCGAAGGCGGCUUUCUGGACAGUAACUGACGCUGAGGCGCGAAAGCGUGGGGAGCAAACAGGAUUAGAUACCCCGGUAGG
rnacentral:rRNA from 1 species